rnacentral:rRNA from 1 species
AUGGAUGUGCUUGAUAUUUUUCUGCAACAUGUUUGUACUAAUGCACCAAGUAUGGAAGCACUCUCUCUUGAUCCUUUAUGCUGCUUAAUGUUGACUGAUAAGUUAAAUCAUCUACUUUUGCAGGGACGCAAGACAAAGUUUGACUUAUUUGUUGAACAGUACAAACAAGACACUGUCAAAACUCAGGGGGUCCUCGAUAUACUGGUUGGUAAGCAAGCAGAUAUAGUUGAUGAUUGGUACAAAGAGAUGGCUGAGAAAUUCUUAGAUGAAACCUGGAUGAAAAGGCUCAAGGUGAUCAAAGCUGUAGUUCCUCACGUGGCCAAAAUCUUUUUCCUCUAUGUGUUUGUUAAAAUGAUGCGGCAAAGCAAAGUUCCUAUAUGGAAAUACCCUGCGGCUGCUCGAGCUGGCAGGUUAGCCGCAUCGCAGAAAAUUUUGGAAAUGCUUGAGGAGGCUGAGAAGCUCGAAAAGGCUGAGAGGCUGAAGAAUGGCGGAGACAGCAAGCUGUUCUCGAAAAUGUGGGCGAUCUUGAAGAGUGGUGGCACUACUUCUGGAAAGGGUGAGCAGAAGCCGGGGAAGGAUGUGCCGAAGCAGGGUGGGGAUGAGGACAAGUCAGGGGAGGAUGGACCCGACGAUUAG